rnacentral:lncRNA from 1 species
UGGCACAGAACAAAUCAACUCUUUAUUACUAUGGAAAAGAUUACAAGAUUACAUGGAUUACAUUGCCGUGGCGAUACUACACCUGCCUACGGUAAAUCCUAUGCUAGCAGCGGAACAACUACCGAUGUGAUGAACUCCACUCCGCAGGGACUCUGGCUGGAACGCACAUCCUAGCUCGUAACUCGGAAUCCUCGGCAAUCAAACAAUCAAGGCAUGACCUGCAAACUGGCAUGACAAGCCAGGUGAGUAUUUGGAAUGUACUCGCAAGCUCACAACAAACAUCAGCAUUAAGGCAAGACAACAUCAUAGCAAUCAAGAUUAAGUAAAGGGUUGUUAUCACUAAAGAAGUAGCAGAGAAUUAACUAUACCAGGCUACUCUCACCGUACUCGAGUGAUCCAAAUUCUUGUGAUCUUACCAAGAUCCUUUAGCGAGUAUCCAUAAGAUGGACACCGGACUUAUCACCGUCACGAUGCCCAACUGUAACACCGGCACGAUGCCCAACUGUUACACCGGCACAAUGCCCAACUGUUAUGCCGGCACGAUGCCCAACUAUUACGUACUCAGACGAGUUCUUCCAUCAUUACUAUCAUAGAUACGGUUGACCAUCUACCGAGGUCUGGUCGGGCCGUCCAAUACCGUGGACUCGGCUAUUCGAAUAGAUUUGACACUCUGCAGAGGUUGCACACUUUACCCACAGUAUGAAGCACUGACCUCGUGAUCCCAUUUGGGUGGACCAGCAUUGCUCCAACGAAACUUGACUGACCCGUGACUCUUUCAUCGUACCACCGGCAUUCAUCCUCCCUCGGAGUCCUGCCCUGGGUGGCCCUGUGUCCACAUGACACCUGCCACCGUUGUGGCCAAACUAAACUGUCCCAUCUAGGGACGCUGGCACAAACAACUCAACUGGCUCACAGGGUUAUCACCGCCCACCGGGCCAAGGUAGCACGCGUGCAUAACCCUCCCUCUUUGGAAGUACCGGUGAAAGAGCACGCGAUCAGCUCAAGUCAAGGACGUCCCAUAUCGGCAAAUGUGGUUGCACUGAUGAGCCUGUACAGGUCACUCUGAUCAACCAACUAGGUAUCUUAUCAUGAAUAAUAUAUCUGUUAGAGCUGACUCUCCACUGUCAUAGCAAUCCGAUGAUAGAUAAGCUCAACCAUUACUGUUAAACUGUACUCACAAGGUAAUCAUUAGACAGUAAUCUCAACCUCAUGUUAUCGACUAGUGUGUAAGAUACUAACGAUCUCGUACUCAUCUCAGUAAUAAUUUACUCAACAGAGCAUACUCACAUUCCAGACUAUCAACAUAUAUAUUUAUUAUUAAAAUAGUUAAUGAGACUAUGAUAUUGCAGUGCAAUGAAGCAAAUGGAAGUUGUGGCUUUCCUGGGAUGAUGGAACCACCGGGAAGAAGCGCGAGAAACUCGCGGAAGGAAUUGCCGGAAACAGUUCUCUCUCGGAGGAGGGGCUGUUUACGGCAAGGGCAACAUGGUCAUUUCAAUUGUGAGAUCACAUGGUGGAAAUGAUACCAUCUUGUCGGGCUCGACGAGACGAAUACGUGGGCUUUGGAAUCACUGGAAUUGGAGUCACGGAUAAAAAGAUAUGAAGCUUUUGGUGCUAGGGACUGAUCUGCAGAAAUUUUAUUUACAUCCGGGUCCCUGGCAGCCGAGUUGGUCGCGCACUCAGGGAGAAUACGCUUCCCAUGAGGAAAACGUAAUUACUCCCGAGGCGUUUCCACUUAAACCGGCUGGCGGCUCCCCUCUCACCAACAGGUGGGGUCAGGGCCCACCUGUCGGGACCCUCUCUCUCUCUCUCUCCCUUACUGCUUCUUCAACCUCCUGCUUCCUGCUUGGCCGGGGCAGGGCCCCGCCCCGAUGGCGACUACCGGCGGCACAGGCCACCGCUGGUGGCGCUCAGCCUACCAGGAUGACCAGCACAGCGGGACGCAUCCAUCCCCCUAGGUGGCGACGUUAGGGGAAUACCGGAGCACGGGGGCCCAUGGCCAUGGCGGAGGCUGAUCGGGUGCCGACUGGGGCGGCAGCCACAAGGGCUUCGGCAGCGAACUGAGGGGAGGGGGAGGUUCGUCGGCAGUGAGGGGAGAUGCAGAAGCUACCAGGGGUGGGAGAGGGCUCGGCUUGGAGCGAAUUUGGGAGGGGGAGGCCGGUGUCCAUGGCGGCCAGAGAGAAGGAACUGGGCACUGGGGGUUGCUCCUCAAGCAGGGGAGGAAGCUGGGAGGCUGCUGGGGUGGAGGAGAGCUUCGGGGCGCGCCUUAAAUAGUCACGGGGAGGGGCUGCACAGCGUCGGCCGAAGCUUCGCGCUGGAUGUUGCCGUGGCGGCCCUCCGACGAUCGACAGAGGCGGACAGGAGCUACGGGACAAGGGGAGAACACUCCAUAGGGUGCACGCGAGGGGUGGACAGCUCACCGGCGCUCGUGGACAAGCCGGAGCUUGCUCCUGUCUCCGUCAAUGCACAGAGCGCCAUUUUGGCUUGCUCUGAGCGUGGUCACCACGUGCACUACGUGCUCUGGUGUGCCACUGCUCCUCACACCAUGUCAUCAGUGAGGUCCCUUCAAGUAAUAGUCUCCCAGAGGUGAUGGCACGAAGCCAAGGACUCUGGUUGGAUGGUAAUGAUCACCUGAAGUUUCCUGCAGCAGAUUUGGACACCACAUUAUGAUCAACAAGAAGGUGAUAAGAUCAAAAGUUUAUGUCUGUGAGGCUCAGGGUAGGAGGGACUACAAUCCUGUGAAAUUUGAGAAGAAGAGGAUCAAGAUUUAAUAUAGUUGCUUUGCAACUCACCAAUCUGGUCCAGAUUAGGGAUUUUGAUGUGGCACUCACAUACUCUCUUGGAUGAAGCUCAAACUUGGAGGAGAUGAAUAAUUUGGGCAUGUGAGGAUGAUGUAUAAAAUUCAUGCCAUCUUGAUAAGCCCAAGUGGCACUUCCUUCAUACAGUUUCUCACUGGACAGAAACUUAGAAGAAUUUCUG